rnacentral:lncRNA from 1 species
CCCCCGCCCCGCCCGGAACGGCGUCUUUCUACGCCGGCGCUCGGUCCCCGCGCCGCCCUCGCUCUCCAGGCAGGCCACGGUGGCCCCGGCCCUCCCCGGGGCUUUUGGGUUUUAAACUAGUCCCAUCUAUCACUUCCUACCUGCCUAUCGGCCCGCACCAACUGUUGCAAGUUCCGCACCAUUGCUUCUCGCAACUUCUCGGUCGAAACGGCUCCUCCCACGGGGGCGCCGUGCAAGAGCAGAAAUAGGAAUAAAUGCCCGGAUGCCCUUGGAGGCAUUGAGCCCCGAGGUUUGCAAAGGUGAAGUGGAUAAUUUUAAGUUUUAAGUUAUCGAAAUGCUUCGCCGGUAUUCAUAAGCCCCAAUUUAAAAAAAAAAAAAAAAGAAAAGGGUUUUAAGUCAAAUAAAAAGCCUAGGGGAUCUCUUACUAGCAAGACUGAUCAUAGUUGAAAGUCUUAAGAGAGCUGAGAAAAAAAAAUGUGCUAGUAGAAAAUGAAUUUCAAACUUUCAAACAACAGCUUAAGAAUAUGUUGGGAAAUAUACGCCCAGAUCCGUAGUUCAGGAAAGGACUCAGAACAUUUUGAUGAGAAAGGAUUUCCAGGUGCCUUCUGGGAUAAUUAAACCACCUUGCACAGGGAGCCUUGUUUUGUUUAAACAUCACACUAUUAAUUACUUGAUUUAUUUGAAAGAGAGGAGAAAGAGCAAGGAGGAAAUAGGAAAUGAAAAAAACGGAAAUGGCUACUUACCAAUACAAGCUAGGUGGCCUCUUCCUCACCCUUAGAAUUUGAGAGUGCAUUCCUUCUAAAUAUUUAAAUGUAAGUAUUUCUGUAGGUAAAACAAAAUCAUCACUUGACCUCAAGGAUUCCACUGAUGUGUAUCAAGUCUGGGUCUUUGAAGGGAGGGCGCUCUGGCGUGGGAACGGGGGUAACUGCCCCUAAGAAUGACUUGGUGGGUCUCCUGGAUAGGAGUAAGAUUACGGGUAGUAGGCACCUUCCAUCUCAGAGCCAAUUAGAUUUCCACAAUUCUCAAAGCCCGCACUGUUUCAUCGCUUUAGACUACUACACCAUCAGCCGACCACGAUGGUGCACACCUGGUAAUAGCAACAGUUCGGUGGGCUGAGAGGCA